UACAGAGGUCCCAAGCGUUGUUCGGAUUCACUGGGCGUAAAGGGUGCGUAGGUGGCGUGGCAAGUCUGAUGUGAAAUCCCGGGGCUCAACCCCGGAACUGCAUUGGAUACUGCCAUGCUUGAGCACUGGAGAGGAGACUGGAAUUUACGGUGUAGCAGUGAAAUGCGUAGAUAUCGUAAGGAAGACCAGUGGCGAAGGCGAGUCUCUGGACAGUUGCUGACACUGAGGCACGAAGGCCAGGGGAGCAAACGGG
rnacentral:rRNA from 1 species